UUAAGCGACUAAGCGUACACGGUGGAUGCCCUGGCAGUCAGAGGCGAUGAAGGACGUGCUAAUCUGCGAAAAGCGCCGGCGAGGUGAUAUGAACCUUUGACCCGGCGAUGUCCGAAUGGGGAAACCCAGUGUGUUCCGACACACUAUCGUUAACUGAAUACAUAGGUUAACGAGGCGAACCGGGGGAACUGAAACAUCUAAGUACCCCGAGGAAAAGAAAUCAACCGAGAUUCCCCCAGUAGCGGCGAGCGAACGGGGAGCAGCCCAGAGUCUGAAUCAGCUUGUGUGUUAGUGGAAGCGUCUGGAAAGUCGCACGGUACAGGGUGACAGUCCCGUACACGAAAAUGCACAGGUUGUGAACUCGAAGAGUAGGGCGGGACACGUGGUAUCCUGUCUGAAUAUGGGGGGACCAUCCUCCAAGGCUAAAUACUCCUGACUGACCGAUAGUGAACCAGUACCGUGAGGGAAAGGCGAAAAGAACCCCGGCGAGGGGAGUGAAAAAGAACCUGAAACCGUGUACGUACAAGCAGUGGGAGCACCUUCGUGGUGUGACUGCGUACCUUUUGUAUAAUGGGUCAGCGACUUAUAUUCUGUAGCAAGGUUAACCGUAUAGGGGAGCCGAAGGGAAACCGAGUCUUAACUGGGCGUUAAGUUGCAGGGUAUAGACCCGAAACCCGGUGAUCUAGCCAUGGGCAGGUUGAAGGUUGGGUAACACUAACUGGAGGACCGAACCGACUAAUGUUGAAAAAUUAGCGGAUGACUUGUGGCUGGGGGUGAAAGGCCAAUCAAACCGGGAGAUAGCUGGUUCUCCCCGAAAGCUAUUUAGGUAGCGCCUCGUGAACUCAUCUUCGGGGGUAGAGCACUGUUUCGGCUAGGGGGCCAUCCCGGCUUACCAACCCGAUGCAAACUACGAAUACCGAAGAAUGUUAUCACGGGAGACACACGGCGGGUGCUAACGUCCGUCGUGAAGAGGGAAACAACCCAGACCGCCAGCUAAGGUCCCAAAGUCAUGGUUAAGUGGGAAACGAUGUGGGAAGGCACAGACAGCCAGGAUGUUGGCUUAGAAGCAGCCAUCAUUUAAAGAAAGCGUAAUAGCUCACUGGUCGAGUCGGCCUGCGCGGAAGAUGUAACGGGGCUAAACCAUGCACCGAAGCUGCGGCAGCGACGCUUAUGCGUUGUUGGGUAGGGGAGCGUUCUGUAAGCCGUUGAAGGUGUGCUGUGAGGCAUGCUGGAGGUAUCAGAAGUGCGAAUGCUGACAUAAGUAACGAUAAAGCGGGUGAAAAGCCCGCUCGCCGGAAGACCAAGGGUUCCUGUCCAACGUUAAUCGGGGCAGGGUGAGUCGACCCCUAAGGCGAGGCCGAAAGGCGUAGUCGAUGGGAAACAGGUUAAUAUUCCUGUACUUGGUGUUACUGCGAAGGGGGGACGGAGAAGGCUAUGUUAGCCGGGCGACGGUUGUCCCGGUUUAAGCAUGUAGGCGGAGGUUCCAGGUAAAUCCGGUACCUUUUAACGCUGAGGUGUGAUGACGAGGCACUACGGUGCUGAAGUAACAAAUGCCCUGCUUCCAGGAAAAGCCUCUAAGCAUCAGGUAACAUCAAAUCGUACCCCAAACCGACACAGGUGGUCAGGUAGAGAAUACCAAGGCGCUUGAGAGAACUCGGGUGAAGGAACUAGGCAAAAUGGUGCCGUAACUUCGGGAGAAGGCACGCUGAUAUGUAGGUGAAGCCCCUGCGGGUGGAGCUGAAAUCAGUCGAAGAUACCAGCUGGCUGCAACUGUUUAUUAAAAACACAGCACUGUGCAAACACGAAAGUGGACGUAUACGGUGUGACGCCUGCCCGGUGCCGGAAGGUUAAUUGAUGGGGUUAGCGGCAACGCGAAGCUCUUGAUCGAAGCCCCGGUAAACGGCGGCCGUAACUAUAACGGUCCUAAGGUAGCGAAAUUCCUUGUCGGGUAAGUUCCGACCUGCACGAAUGGCGUAAUGAUGGCCAGGCUGUCUCCACCCGAGACUCAGUGAAAUUGAACUCGCUGUGAAGAUGCAGUGUACCCGCGGCAAGACGGAAAGACCCCGUGAACCUUUACUAUAGCUUGACACUGAACACUGGUCCUUGAUGUGUAGGAUAGGUGGGAGGCUUUGAAGCGUGGACGCCAGUCUGCGUGGAGCCGUCCUUGAAAUACCACCCUUUAAUGGCUGGUGUUCUAACGUAGACCCGUAAUCCGGGUUGCGGACAGUGUCUGGUGGGUAGUUUGACUGGGGCGGUCUCCUCCCAAAGAGUAACGGAGGAGCACGAAGGUUAGCUAAUCCUGGUCGGACAUCAGGAGGUUAGUGCAAUGGCAUAAGCUAGCUUGACUGCGAGAGUGACGGCUCGAGCAGGUGCGAAAGCAGGUCAUAGUGAUCCGGUGGUUCUGAAUGGAAGGGCCAUCGCUCAACGGAUAAAAGGUACUCCGGGGAUAACAGGCUGAUACCGCCCAAGAGUUCAUAUCGACGGCGGUGUUUGGCACCUCGAUGUCGGCUCAUCACAUCCUGGGGCUGAAGUAGGUCCCAAGGGUAUGGCUGUUCGCCAUUUAAAGUGGUACGCGAGCUGGGUUUAGAACGUCGUGAGACAGUUCGGUCCCUAUCUGCCGUGGGCGCUGGAGAAUUGAGGGGGGCUGCUCCUAGUACGAGAGGACCGGAGUGGACGCAUCACUGGUGUUCGGGUUGUCAUGCCAAUGGCACUGCCCGGUAGCUAAAUGCGGAAAAGAUAAGUGCUGAAAGCAUCUAAGCACGAAACUUGCCCCGAGAUGAGUUCUCCCUGAGACUUUAAGUCUCCUGAAGGAACGUUGAAGACGACGACGUUGAUAGGUCGGGUGUGUAAGCGCAGCGAUGCGUUGAGCUAACCGAUACUAAUGAACCGUGAGGCUUAACCUU
rnacentral:rRNA from 1 species